rnacentral:lncRNA from 9 species
UGAUCUGGAGCCGCCAUGCCUCUCGGGGCAGCUUGGCGGGGGGAGCCCUGGGUGGCAGGAACCAUGCAUUCUUCCUUCUUCUGUCCCCAGCACCUACUGAAAAAUUGGUCGUGUCCAGUGACUGAGCAGUCCUCAUGCUGGCCCGAAGCCCAGCCAGGAUCCUCCUGAGUCCCCGGAGGGAGCAAAGACAGGGCAGCUGAAUGACCACAGACGAGCCCAGCCCCGCAACUCGAAAGCCUUCACAAUGCGUGCUCCUCGGGCCUCCACCAGACGACAUCGAGCCUCAGUUUGGACUCACAUGUGUGCGUGCGAACAGUUCUUCGUCCCAUCGGAGCAUGAGGCUCUCACGGCAGAGGAAGCCGACGUGGUGUGACCCCUGCUGCUGUCCGGCCACCAUACAGCACUGGUUCCCCAGGUUUCUUAACUAGAGCAGAGGAGGGGGCAGGCAUUCCUAUCACCUGGGUCCUGUGUCCCCGUGUCCCCGUGGAGAGGCACGGUGGGCUGUCACUCAGCUUGAUUACAUGGUGGCCGGGCCACUGGCUGACUCGCAAGAGGGGCCACGACUGGGAAACGUGUAACCUCCGCCCAGACAACUGGAAGUAAUUCUGGAGGAGGAGCGGCUUGGUCUGAACUGGGAAAGAAGGCGGACUAUCAGUCUUGCUGUUUGGAGGCUCAACCUGGAGCACAGGAGAAGGUCUGGGAAGCCCUGCUGGGCCCCCAGCAGCGGAGACGCGCUGGUCGUUAGUGCCUGAAAGCCUCCCUUUUUCCCAAGGCUGAUGAGGUGCCCCUGUACCAGGCUGCGCUUUGCAGCUCCAACCAGGCUCAAGUUAGCACGAGCUCCCAAGCGCUGGGCCUGAAUUCGACAUAGCCCAGAGCACCUUUCUUUCGAGGCCCUGGAAGAGCAAGAUUCCUGGGGAGAGAACGGCCUGUAUCACCCCCAGGACCAGAGCUGCCCAGAGUGCUGAAGGUCACAGCGCACCUUCCCGCCUGUCCGCAGCAUCCAAGCCGCCCUCAUGCAAGGCCACCACACAGGCUCCCUGGGUGGCGUGACCACCCGUGUCCAGGUCCAGGCUGUGGUGUGUUGUUCACACCAGGCAUGGGAGCUUCUGAGAAGGUGGAAGUGGGGUCCUUCAGCAGACCGGCCACAGGGGGUCACGUCCAGUUCAGGGUGACACGUCUGUCCUUGCCCCGGGACGUGUUGGCAGGCUUCCCUUCCCGGUGGCGGGUCUGAUCUGGCAGCUGUUUUCCGAAAGCCUUUGAUUUUACCAAGCAGCAUGCGUUCCUGAGAGGAGGCCACUCUGAGUCCUGGUCAUAAUCCUUUAAGUCCUAAUUCCCCGCCUUCCUCUGUCCCCACGGGCGAAAAGGAGGAGGUGGCCGAAGUACUGUCUGCACCACUGACCGGCCUCGUGACUGUCACCUGGAAAACGUUCUCAGGGGGACGGAAAAAGGAAAAUUUCACACUAGAUUGUAUUUUUUCUUCCCCGAACGUUAACUUAAAUAAUUCUGUGUAUUCAGCAAAUUCUGCCACUUAACCUUCUAUCUCUGGCUCUUCCAACUCAUUAACAAAUACGCUGAAAUAUACUUGCCUUGGGACCGAUCUCUGGGGCACCCGACUGCUGGCCUUUCUCCACGUUCAGAAUUAGAUGGGCAAACGUUUUGAUUACUUAAGGAGCUGAG